UUUAUGUGGCAGGAACAAAGGUACACUUUUAAAUCUGUCUCUGAAAAAUGCAUUGGUUUUGAAUCCAAUUCACUCUACAACCCUUGCUUUUGGGAUCCAGGAGGAACCUUUCCAAAAAGGGUUUUUGGUUUGUUUUUUUUGUUUUGCCUUCAUGGAGUGACCUGAGCCAAGGGCUUCAACAUGAGAACCUGGGGUGGAGGACACAAACAUUUGGUUCAUAACAUCUGACAUGGCUUUCUUGAGACCAGAACCAGCUCAUGAAAAGAGUCCAAUCAGAUGAAAAUGCUAAAGCUUGGAGAGUUUGAACCCCUUGCCUGAGGUCCUCAAGUGGUGGAGCUGGAAUUCAAACCGCAGGCAUCCAACUCCAGAGUCCUCAGUCAUAACUGAUCUGUGAUAUUGACUCUAUUCUAAUAAACAACUUUAACAAAAUCUGUGAUAUUGACUCUCUUCUAAUAAACAACUUUAACUUUAUUCAUCUUAAUUACUGAAAAAAUAAUCACCAAACAUAGUACUCUAU
rnacentral:lncRNA from 1 species